CCUACGGGUGGCAGCAGUGGGGAAUAUUGGACAAUGGGGGGAACCCUGAUCCAGCCAUGCCGCGUGUGUGAAGAAGGCCCUCGGGUUGUAAAGCACUUUCAGUGAGGAAGAACGCCUGGUGGUUAAUACCCAUCAGGAAAGACAUCACUCACAGAAGAAGCACCGGCUAACUCCGUGCCAGCAGCCGCGGUAAUACGGAGGGUGCGAGCGGUAAUCGGAAUUACUGGGCGUAAAGCGCGCGUAGGUGGCUUGAUAAGCCGGUUGUGAAAGCCCCGGGCUCAACCUGGGAACGGCAUCCGGAACUGUCAAGCUAGAGUGCAGGAGAGGAAGGUAGAAUUCCCGGUGUAGCGGUGAAAUGCGUAGAGAUCGGGAGGAAUACCAGUGGCGAAGGCGGCCUUCUGGACUGACACUGACACUGAGGUGCGAAAGCGUGGGUAGCAAACAGGAUUAGAUACCCGAGUAGUC
rnacentral:rRNA from 1 species